CACUAUCGUUAACUGAAUACAUAGGUUAACGAGGCGAACCGGGGGAACUGAAACAUCUAAGUACCCCGAGGAAAAGAAAUCAACCGAGAUUCCCCCAGUAGCGGCGAGCGAACGGGGAGCAGCCCAGAGUCUGAAUCAGCUUGUGUGUUAGUGGAACGGUCUGGAAAGUCCGACGGUACAGGGUGAUAGUCCCGUACACCAAAAUGCACAGGCUGUGAACUCGAAGAGUAGGGCGGGACACGUGGUAUCCUGUCUGAAUAUGGGGGGACCAUCCUCCAAGGCUAAAUACUCCUGACUGACCGAUAGUGAACCAGUACCGUGAGGGAAAGGCGAAAAGAACCCCGGCGAGGGGAGUGAAAAAGAACCUGAAACCGUGUACGUACAAGCAGUGGGAGCACCUUCGGGUGUGACUGCGUACCUUUUGUAUAAUGGGUCAGCGACUUAUAUUCUGUAGCAAGGUUAACCGUAUAGGGGAGCCGCAGGGAAACCGAGUCUUAACUGGGCGUUAAGUUGCAGGGUAUAGACCCGAAACCCGGUGAUCUAGCCAUGGGCAGGUUGAAGGUUGGGUAACACUAACUGGAGGACCGAACCGACUAAUGUUGAAAAAUUAGCGGAUGACUUGUGGCUGGGGGUGAAAGGCCAAUCAAACCGGGAGAUAGCUGGUUCUCCCCGAAAGCUAUUUAGGUAGCGCCUCGUGAACUCAUCUUCGGGGGUAGAGCACUGUUUCGGCUAGGGGGUCAUCCCGACUUACCAACCCGAUGCAAACUACGAAUACCGAAGAAUGUUAUCACGGGAGACACACGGCGGGUGCUAACGUCCGUCGUGAAGAGGGAAACAACCCAGACCGCCAGCUAAGGUCCCAAAGUCAUGGUUAAGUGGGAAACGAUGUGGGAAGGCACAGACAGCCAGGAUGUUGGCUUAGAAGCAGCCAUCAUUUAAAGAAAGCGUAAUAGCUCACUGGUCGAGUCGGCCUGCGCGGAAGAUGUAACGGGGCUAAACCAUGCACCGAAGCUGCGGCAGCGACACUAUGUGUUGUUGGGUAGGGGAGCGUUCUGUAAGCCUGCGAAGGUGUGCUGUGAGGCAUGCUGGAGGUAUCAGAAGUGCGAAUGCUGACAUAAGUAACGAUAAAGCGGGUGAAAAGCCCGCUCGCCGGAAGACCAAGGGUUCCUGUCCAACGUUAAUCGGGGCAGGGUGAGUCGACCCCUAAGGCGAGGCCGAAAGGCGUAGUCGAUGGGAAACAGGUUAAUAUUCCUGUACUUGGUGUUACUGCGAAGGGGGGACGGAGAAGGCUAUGUUAGCCGGGCGACGGUUGUCCCGGUUUAAGCAUGUAGGCUGGUUGUCCAGGCAAAUCCGGAUAAUCAAGGCUGAGGUGUGAUGACGAGGCACUACGGUGCUGAAGUAACAAAUGCCCUGCUUCCAGGAAAAGCCUCUAAGCAUCAGGUAACAUUAAAUCGUACCCCAAACCGACACAGGUGGUCAGGUAGAGAAUACCAAGGCGCUUGAGAGAACUCGGGUGAAGGAACUAGGCAAAAUGGUGCCGUAACUUCGGGAGAAGGCACGCUGGUGUGUAGGUGAAGUCCCUGCGGAUGGAGCUGAGACCAGUCGAAGAUACCAGCUGGCUGCAACUGUUUAUUAAAAACACAGCACUGUGCAAACACGAAAGUGGACGUAUACGGUGUGACGCCUGCCCGGUGCCGGAAGGUUAAUUGAUGGGGUUAUCCGUAAGGAGAAGCUCUUGAUCGAAGCCCCGGUAAACGGCGGCCGUAACUAUAACGGUCCUAAGGUAGCGAAAUUCCUUGUCGGGUAAGUUCCGACCUGCACGAAUGGCGUAAUGAUGGCCAGGCUGUCUCCACCCGAGACUCAGUGAAAUUGAACUCGCUGUGAAGAUGCAGUGUACCCGCGGCAAGACGGAAAGACCCCGUGAACCUUUACUAUAGCUUGACACUGAACAUUGAGCCUUGAUGUGUAGGAUAGGUGGGAGGCUUUGAAGCGUGGACGCCAGUCUGCGUGGAGCCAACCUUGAAAUACCACCCUUUAAUGUUUGAUGUUCUAACGUUGGCCCCUGACCGGGGUUGCGGACAGUGUCUGGUGGGUAGUUUGACUGGGGCGGUCUCCUCCCAAAGCGUAACGGAGGAGCACGAAGGUUAGCUAAUCCUGGUCGGACAUCAGGAGGUUAGUGCAAUGGCAUAAGCUAGCUUGACUGCGAGCGUGACGGCGCGAGCAGGUGCGAAAGCAGGUCAUAGUGAUCCGGUGGUUCUGAAUGGAAGGGCCAUCGCUCAACGGAUAAAAGGUACUCCGGGGAUAACAGGCUGAUACCGCCCAAGAGUUCAUAUCGACGGCGGUGUUUGGCACCUCGAUGUCGGCUCAUCACAUCCUGGGGCUGAAGUAGGUCCCAAGGGUAUGGCUGUUCGCCAUUUAAAGUGGUACGCGAGCUGGGUUUAGAACGUCGUGAGACAGUUCGGUCCCUAUCUGCCGUGGGCGCUGGAGAAUUGAGGGGGGCUGCUCCUAGUACGAGAGGACCGGAGUGGACGCAUCACUGGUGUUCGGGUUGUCAUGCCAAUGGCACUGCCCGGUAGCUAAAUGCGGAAGAGAUAAGUGCUGAAAGCAUCUAAGCACGAAACUUGCCCCGAGAUGAGUUCUCCCUGAGACUUUAAGUCUCCUGAAGGAACGUU
rnacentral:rRNA from 1 species